AUAAAUCUUUCACCUCUUUUGUUAGGUUGAUUCCCAAGUAUCUUAUUUUCUUUGAGGAUAUUGUGAAUGGAGUGGUUUUCCUCAUUUCCAUUUCAGAAGUUUUGUUGCUGAUAUACAGGAAUGCCUUUGAUUUAUGCGUGUUGAUUUUAUAUCCUGCCACUUUGCUGAAUUCAUUUAUUAACUCUAGCAGUUUGUUUGUAGACCCUUUUGGGUCUGUUAAAUAUAUUAUCAUGUCAUCUGCAAACAGUGAUAAUUUAAGUUCUUCUUUUCCUAUUUUUAUGCCUUUAAUUUCUUUUGUCUGUCUAAUUGCUCUGGCUAGUAUUUCAAGAACUAAAUUGAAUAGAAGUGGUGAUAGAGGGCAUCCCUGUCUUGUUCCAGAUUUUAGAAAGGCUUUAUUUUAGAAAAAAAAUCAAAUUUGCUUUGUUGUAAUAAAACUCUAUUAACGUGACUAUAUUUCUCAAAUCAUAUCUUGUCUAGAAGAUAAGAUAUUUUCAAUACUUAGCCAAUGAGGUGACCCAAGAAAGUAAGACUUAAGGAAGAAUAUGUUUUACAGAGGAGAGUGUGAUCAACCAUGUGGAAUGCUACUAGUUAAGUGAGAUGAGAACAAAAUAAUUUUUAUUGGAUUUGGUAACUCAAAUCCAAAAAAAACCAAUGAUGACCUUAAAAAAACAAGUAUGGGGUGGAAGUAUAGCUUGGUGGUAAAUCACUUGUCUAGCAUGCACAGGCCCUGGGGUUGAUUCCUAGCACAGAAGAAGAAGAAGGAGAAGG
rnacentral:lncRNA from 1 species